GGAAACAGCCAAUAGCUUAAUGGUAGAGCAUAUGUCUUGUAUGUUGGUCUCAGGUUCAAUUCCUGAUAUCUCCA